AGAUUGAACAUAAGAGUUUGAUCCUGGCUCAGAUUGAACGCUGGCGGCAUGCUUUACACAUGCAAGUCGGACGGCAGCACAGAGAAGCUUGCUUCUUGGGUGGCGAGUGGCGAACGGGUGAGUAACAUAUCGGAACGUACCGAGCAGUGGGGGAUAACUAAUCGAAAGAUUAGCUAAUACCGCAUAUUUUCUGAGGAAGAAAGCAGGGGACCUUUGGGCCUUGCGCUGUUUGAGCGGCCGAUAUCUGAUUAGCUAGUUGGUGGGGUAAAGGCCUACCAAGGCGACG
rnacentral:rRNA from 1 species